rnacentral:misc_RNA from 1 species
AAAAGAAGCACCAUAAACAUCAACAGCAGCAGGCUCCAGUGUUUAUGGCUGAACCCAUGAGAGCUUCAAAUUCUUUUGUUGGCACUGAAGAGUAUAUAGCUCCGGAAAUUAUAACUGGGGCAGGCCAUACUAGUGCAGUGGACUGGUGGGCUCUUGGUAUCCUUCUAUAUGAAAUGCUGUACGGACAUACACCAUUUAGGGGAAAGACAAGGCAAAACACAUUUGCCAAUAUUCUUCACAAAGAUCUUAAAUUUCCA